GUCUGNNGGAGCACGCCGCGUGAGUGAAGAAGGUUUUCGGAUCGUAAAACUCUGUUGUUGAAGAAGAACGAGGAUGAGAGUAACUGUUCAUCCUGUGACGGUAUUCAACCAGAAAGCCACGGCUAACUACGUGCCAGCAGCCGCGGAAAUA
rnacentral:rRNA from 1 species